CGGGAUGCUUUACACACGCAAGUCGAACGGCAGCGCGAGCUUCAGUUUGGCGGCGAGUGGCGAACGGGUGAGUAAUAUAUCGGAACGUACCCAGUAGCGGGGGAUAACUACUCGAAAGAGUAGCUAAUACCGCAUACGCCCUAAGGGGGAAAGGGGGGGAUCUUCGGACCUCUCACUAUUGGAGCGGCCGAUAUCGGAUUAGCUAGUUGGUGGGGUAAAGGCUCACCAAGGCGACGAUCCGUAGCUGGUUUGAGAGGACGACCAGCCACACUGGGACUGAGACACGGCCCAGACUCCUACGGGAGGCAGCAGUGGGGAAUUUUGGACAAUGGGGGCAACCCUGAUCCAGCCAUCCCGCGUGUGCGAUGAAGGCCUUCGGGUUGUAAAGCACUUUUGGCAGGAAAGAAAUCGCAUGGGUUAAUAACCUGUGUGGAUGACGGUACCUGCAGAAUAAGCACCGGCUAACUACGUGCCAGCAGCCCGCGGUAAU
rnacentral:rRNA from 1 species